UAUCUUCUGCUGCUAGAUCUGUCCUGCUGGGUUUGCAGUGUGUGGUAUUCAGACCAAGGUGGAUCCAGGAUCUAAUAACAAUGUAGAUGCUCUAGGGAUAGCCCAGGUAAGCUUCUCCUGUUGUAGCCUACCUCCGGAAUUUGCUUAAACAACAACAAUAAAAACAAUAAUAAAAACAACAACAACAACAACAACAAAAACAACAAUAAAAACAAAAACAACAAUCAAAAUAACAAAAACCAAAACAAGACAAACCAAAACAACCAAAUCAUGGCAACUACAACGAUUACAAUUACAACUACAAUACAACUACAAAAACUGCAAUUACAGCUAUUAGAACAACUACAUCUACAACAACAACUGCAACUACAACUACAAUACAAUUACAACUACAACUAUAA